ACCAGACUCCUACGGGAGGCAGCAGUGGGGGAUAUUGCACAAUGGGGGGAACCCUGAUGCAGCGACGCCGCGUGGGUGAAGAAGCGCCUCGGCGCGUAAAGCCCUGUCAGCAGGGAAGAAAAUGACGGUACCUGAAGAAGAAGCCCCGGCUAACUACGUGCCAGCAGCCGCGGUAAUACGUAGGGGGCAAGCGUUAUCCGGAUUUACUGGGUGUAAAGGGGGCGCAGACGGCAGCGCAAGCCAGGAGUGAAAGCCCGGGGCCCAACCCCGGGACUGCUCUUGGAACUGCGCGGCUGGAGUGCAGGAGGGGCAGGCGGAAUUCCUGGUGUAGCGGUGAAAUGCGUAGAUAUCAGGAGGAACACCGGUGGCGAAGGCGGCCUGCUGGACUGCGACUGACGUUGAGGCCCGAAAGCGUGGGGAGCAAACAUGAUUAGAUCCCCCAGUA
rnacentral:rRNA from 1 species